CACGGAGUUAGCCGAUGCUUUUUCUUCGGAUACACGCAGUCCGGGACACGUCCCGGGUUUUGUUCUCCGACAAAAGAGGUUUACAACCCAUAGGGCCGUCUUCCCUCACGCGGCUUGGCUGGUUCAGGAUCUCUCCCAUUGACCAAUAUUCCUCACUGCUGCCUCCCGUAGGAGUCUGGUCCGCGUCUCAGUACCAGUGUGGGGGACCUUCCUCUCAGAACCCCUACGCAUCGUCGCCACGGUGGGCCGUUACCCCGCCGUCAAGCUAAUGCGCCGCAUGCCCAUCCUCUUCCGAUGAAUCUUUCCUCGAUCUCGGAUGCCCGAAACCGAUAUACGCGGGAUUAGCCUCCCUUUCGGAAGGUUGUCCCCCUGAAGAGGGCAGGUUGCAUACGUGUUACUCACCCGUGCGCCGGUCGCCGGCAAGGAAAGCAAGCUUCCCUCCCGAUGCCCCUCGACUUGCAUGUGUUAAGCCUGCCGCUAGCGUUCAUCCUGAGCCAGGAUCAAACUCU
rnacentral:rRNA from 1 species